rnacentral:rRNA from 2 species
AGCCGAGCGGUAGAGAUCUUUCGGGAUCUUGAGAGCGGCGUACGGGUGCGGAACACGUGUGCAACCUGCCUUUAUCUGGGGGAUAGCCUUUCGAAAGGAAGAUUAAUACCCCAUAAUAUACUGAAUGGCAUCAUUCGGUAUUGAAAACUCCGGUGGAUAGAGAUGGGCACGCGCAAGAUUAGAUAGUUGGUGAGGUAACGGCUCACCAAGUCUACGAUCUUUAGGGGGCCUGAGAGGGUGAUCCCCCACACUGGUACUGAGACACGGACCAGACUCCUACGGGAGGCAGCAGUGAGGAAUAUUGGACAAUGGGUGAGAGCCUGAUCCAGCCAUCCCGCGUGAAGGACGACGGCCCUAUGGGUUGUAAACUUCUUUUGUAUAGGGAUAAACCUACCCUCGUGAGGGUAGCUGAAGGUACUAUACGAAUAAGCACCGGCUAACUCCGUGCCAGCAGCCGCGGUAAUACGGAGGGUGCAAGCGUUAUCCGGAUUUAUUGGGUUUAAAGGGUCCGUAGGCGGAUCUGUAAGUCAGUGGUGAAAUCUCACAGCUUAACUGUGAAACUGCCAUUGAUACUGCAGGUCUUGAGUGUUGUUGAAGUAGCUGGAAUAAGUAGUGUAGCGGUGAAAUGCAUAGAUAUUACUUAGAACACCAAUUGCGAAGGCAGGUUACUAAGCAACAACUGACGCUGAUGGACGAAAGCGUGGGGAGCGAACAGGAUUAGAUACCCUGGUAGUCCACGCCGUAAACGAUGCUAACUCGUUUUUGGAAUGUAAGUUUCAGAGACUAAGCGAAAGUGAUAAGUUAGCCACCUGGGGAGUACGAACGCAAGUUUGAAACUCAAAGGAAUUGACGGGGGCCCGCACAAGCGGUGGAUUAUGUGGUUUAAUUCGAUGAUACGCGAGGAACCUUACCAAGGCUUAAAUGGGAAAUGACAGGUUUAGAAAUAGACUUUUCUUCGGACAUUUUUCAAGGUGCUGCAUGGUUGUCGUCAGCUCGUGCCGUGAGGUGUUAGGUUAAGUCCUGCAACGAGCGCAACUCCUGUCACUAGU